AGUGAACGCUGGCGGUAGGCCUAACACAUGCAAGUCGAACGGCAGCACAGUAAGAGCUUGCUCUUACGGGUGGCGAGUGGCGGACGGGUGAGGAAUACAUCGGAAUCUACUUUUUCGUGGGGGAUAACGUAGGGAAACUUACGCUAAUACCGCAUACGACCUACGGGUGAAAGCAGGGGAUCUUCGGACCUUGCGCGAUUGAAUGAGCCGAUGUCGGAUUAGCUAGUUGGCGGGGUAAAGGCCCACCAAGGCGACGAUCCGUAGCUGGUCUGAGAGGAUGAUCAGCCACACUGGAACGGAGACACGGUCCAGACGCCUAAGGGAGGCAGCAGAGGGGAAUAUGGGACAAUGGGCGCAAGCCUGAUCCAGCCAGACCGCGUGGGUGAAGAAGGCCUUCGGGUUGUAAAGCCCUUUUGUUGGGAAAGAAAAGCAGCAGGUUAAUACCCCGCUGUUCUGACGGUACCCAAAGAAUAAGCACCGGCUAACUUCGUG
rnacentral:rRNA from 1 species